rnacentral:rRNA from 1 species
UACGGAGGGUGCAAACGUUGCUCGGAAUCAUUGGGCGUAAAGCGCACGUAGGCGGUCCGUUAUGUCGAGUGUGAAAGCCCUCGGCUUAACCGAGGAAGUGCAUUCGAAACUGGCGGACUUGAGUACCGGAGAGGGUCGCGGAAUUCCCGGUGUAGAGGUGAAAUUCGUAGAUAUCGGGAGGAACACCAGUGGCGAAGGCGGCGACCUGGACGGAUACUGACGCUGAGGUGCGAAAGCGUGGGGAGCAAACAGG